ensembl:lncRNA
GCCAACUCCAGGGCAGUGCACAGGCUGUCCCUGAGAAUGCCACUGGCACAGUGCAAUGGAGGAGUGAGACACCACAUUAGGCUAGACAGGGGAACAUCGGUAGAGGACUUCCAAUCAUUGAGCUUCAGAACAGUGUGUGCCAAUAGCCUGGCGGAAAUUAAAAGUGCCACCGCUUGAACAUGUGUACUAAGGAAUAUGCUUCUCAAUAUCCACACUCAGCUGUGAAUUUCAACAUUUUAACAGACUGGGAUUUGUUUUGCAAGAGAGCAAGCAACUAACAACAACUAAAACUAGAAAAUGUAAACUUUCUUUUAAGAAAAUGUCUGUGUCUUGCUUUAGUUUUAAAUUGUCUUAGAUCUAUAGUUAGAUGUUUAGGUAGUAUAAUUACUCUAUUUAGAGGUCAACUUGCAUUCAAAUAGUCAUUUCGGGCAGUUUCUUAUGCCUUUAGUGACCUGGAAUUAUUUUUGACUGGGUGGCAAAUUUGUUGAAAGAGAUGCUCUAUCAGUCCUUACCUACCUCCUUUUGCCAAGGAUGCACAGGUGUGUCUUUUGUCGAAGCGUUUUUGAUGAUAGUCUGCAAAACUCUGCCUAGAGAUAAUGAUUUUUUUAGUUCAAAUAAUUCCGGGGGAUUUUCUGAAACGUUUGCUUAAAGACGUUCUCCAGCGAUUGUUAAACUUUUACCAUUGAUAUUUUUUGUUGUUGUUGACACAACUGCAAACUUCGGGGGACCAGCCCCAUGUUCCCCUCAGCCCAAUGAACAAAUGUAUAUCUUCUAAACCAGGGGUUGGCAACCCAAAGUCAUUUUUCAACUUCUGGCCACAUAUGAUUCAAUUAAAAAAAAGAUAAAAAUAAACCUUAUGGAACAGUGAGAACUAUGAAAUGACACACACAGGCACAGACACACAUAAGACACACACUAUACAAACACAGAUUUUGUAUUGUAGCUAUGUGAUAGUAGAGUAGUAGCCUGUUGGAACACAAUGUGUUGUGAAAAGUGUUAUGAAAUGUAAUGUCAAGUAAUAUUUUUUAUUGUUAAUAACUGCCUUAAUGUUGCUGGACACCAAGAAGAGUAGCUGCUACCUUGUCAG